rnacentral:rRNA from 1 species
AAUCAACGCUGGCGGCGUGCCUCAGACAUGCAAGUCGAACGAUUAAGACUUCCUUCGGGAAGUGCAUAAAGUGGCGCACGGGUGAGUAACACGUAAGUAAUCUACCCUCGAGUGGGGAAUAACAGUCGGAAACGACUGCUAAUACCGCAUAAUGCAGCGGCACCGCAAGGUGACAGUUGUUAAAGGAGCAAUCCGCUUGAGGAGGAGCUUGCGGCAGAUUAGCUAGUUGGUAAGGUAACGGCUUACCAAGGCUACGAUCUGUAUCCGGUCUAAGAGGACGGUCGGACACACUGACACUGAAUAACGGGUCAGACUCCUACGGGAGGCAGCAGUCGGGAAUUUUGGGCAAUGGGCGAAAGCCUGACCCAGCAACGCCGCGUGAAGGAUGAAGUAUUUCGGUAUGUAAACUUCGAAAGAAUAGGAAGAAUAAAUGACGGUACUAUUUAUAAGCUCCGGCUAACUACGUGCCAGCCGCCGCGGUAA